rnacentral:rRNA from 1 species
UACGUAGGGUGCGAGCGUUAAUCGGAAUUACUGGCGUAAAGCGUGCGCAGGCGGUUCGUUGUGUCGGUGGUGAAAGCCCCGGGCUUAACCUGGGAAUGGCCAUGGAAACUGGCGAACUGGAGUGUGGCAGAGGGGGGUGGAAUUCCGCGUGUAGCAGUGAAAUGCGUAGAGAUGCGGAGGAACACCGAUGGCGAAGGCAGCCCCCUGGGCUAGCACUGACGCCUCAGGCACGAAAGCGUGGGGGGGCAAACAGG